ensembl:lncRNA
GUUGGAUGGAUGGAUGAAAGAAUGACCAGUCACACUGAAAGGAGCAAGUGCCUGCAAAUGGACUCUUUCCAUCCAUGUGCCUUGUCUUCGCCUAGUUAAUCAUCGCCAGACGAAGAACGGAGCCGGUGGGUCUGGGGGCCGUGACGUCCACCUUCCGUCUUGCUCAGCGUUGCUUCUCCUGGAGACGCGGCUUCACCCUGGGUGAUGCCUCCUGGCUACAAGUAUUACCACUUGCAAAGAGGGAAAAGAGAAAUAACCUGAAUAUUUGGGAUUCCAAAAGUUGUCUUGUACGAGAACGACCCUAAGACAAGAAAAAUGCUGAAUGCCGCUGUCAGAAGGCGUGUUUUCCCUCCCCCGUGCUGGCUAGCCCCAGGCAGAAUUUGGAGGGCUCUUCUCCUUUCGCCCUGCUCCAGAAGGAGCCCGGUGAGUCUCAUCUUGUGUGUGUGCGAGUGUGACUCGUGUGCCCUUUAGAUGAGGACGCCUCCUUCGCUGCCCUUAUAGUCACUGCGGCCUUCUCUGCUCUUGUUUGCAGCAAAAACGUUCUUGCUGGCUCCCUGCUUCAGCCUUGUCCUCACCCUGUUGCAGCCAGAGUGGUUGUUCCCCGUCCCUCCCGUGCCUCGGUCCUUCAGCGGCUCCCAAUGACCUCAGGAUAAGACUAGCGCGGAGUUCAAAGCCUUCCACCAUCCGGCCUGAGCUGGUUCACCUCCUGGUCGCACUUUUUCCUCUUACUUGGCCAGGCCGCAACCUCGCGGCCCGCCCUCCUGCCAGGCUCCAGGCUCCUGCCCUCGUUUCCGCGGUCUCCACUGCCCUCCCCUCUGCGAGACGAUAGCUGUUCCCUGGGUACCAUGGGCGCGGUGGCGCGCAUCCUUGCAGGCACCCCUCUGGGGCUCGGGGCUGGGUCGGGGGCCGGUGCUUCCCGAGGCGACCGGCCAGGGGGCGGUGCGAGCGGCUCCCGGUGACAGCGGGGGCGCGAGGGGGGGAGGAGGAGGGACGCAGGCAGCGCGGAGCGCGGCUCUCCCGGCCUCACACUCCGACAGAGCCUCGCGCGCCCGAGCCGCUGGCCGCCCGCGCAGCCCGACGCGGAACCGGGCGCAGGGACAGACCGGUGCAGGACGGCGCGGGGCGCGGCGGCGGCGGCCGUCCAUGCGGCGGGCUCGGGGCUGCCCGGGCACGGGAAGCACGCGGGCGAGGCGAGGGGGCCGCCGGCCGCUCCGGGAAGCGGACCGCCACGGAGCUGAGCACCACUCCCGGCGCCACUCCCGGCUCCAGGAAACUGGCACCAUCUCUGAGGAGCCCCUGCUUUUCCCGGGACCCCCAACAUCAUGGUUUCCUGUUUCAUGGGGUCUCCCAGUGACAGAAAGUAAAACAGAUGUGUGAAGCCACAGCCUCAUGCAGUCCGGGAAGAAAACUGAUGUAAUAAUAUGGCAAACGCUUGGUGUGAAGGUACGUUGGGUCCUCGGAGGCCCCAGAGCGCCGUGGUUCAGAGUCCGGGCCAAGAGUCUGACUGCUGGCAUGGAAG